rnacentral:rRNA from 1 species
AGUGAACGCUGGCGGUAGGCCUAACACAUGCAUGUCGAACGGCAGCACAGUAAGAGCUUGCUCUUACGGGUGGCGAGUGGCGGACGGGUGAGGAAUAUAUCGGAAUCUACUUUUUCGUGGGGGAUAACGUAGGGAAACUUACGCUAAUACCGCAUACGACCUACGGGUGAAAGCAGGGGAUCUUCGGACCUUGCGCGAUUGAAUGAGCCGAUGUCGGAUUAGCUAGUUGGCGGGGUAAAGGCCCACCAAGGCGACGAUCCGUAGCUGGUCUGAGAGGAUGAUCAGCCACACUGGAACUGAGACACGGUCCAGACUCCUACGGGAGGCAGCAGUGGGGAAUAUUGGACAAUGGGCGCAAGCCUGAUCCAGCCAUACCGCGUGGGUGAAGAAGGCCUUCGGGUUGUAAAGCCCUUUUGUUGGGAAAGAAAAGCAGCAGGUUAAUACCCCGCUGUUCUGACGGUACCCAAAGAAUAAGCACCGGCUAACUUCGUG